rnacentral:rRNA from 1 species
UACGUAGGCAGCAAGCGUUGUUCGGAGUUACUGGGCGUAAAGGGUGCGUAGGUGGUCCGUUAAGUCAGUUGUGAAAUCCCCGGCUCAACUCGGGAACUGCUUCUGAUACUGGCGGACUUGAGGCCAGUAGGGGUCACUAGAACUGACGGUGGAGCGGUGAAAUGCGUAGAUAUCGUCAGGAAUGCCGGUGGUGAAGACGGGUGACUGGGCUGGUUCUGACACUGAGGCACGAAAGCGUGGGGAGCGAACGGG